UACGUAGGGGGCAAGCGUUGUCCGGAAUCAUUGGGCGUAAAGCGCGUGUAGGCGGCCACGUUAGUCCGCUCUGAAAGCCCGGGGCUCAACCCCGGGAGGCGGGUGGAUACUGCGUGGCUCGAGUCCGGAAGAGGCGAGUGGAAUUCCUGGUGUAGCGGUGAAAUGCGCAGAUAUCAGGAGGAACACCAAUGGCGAAGGCAGCUCGCUGGGACGUGACUGACGCUGAGACGCGAAAGCGUGGGGAGCAAACAGG
rnacentral:rRNA from 1 species